CUACAGCCAAUUAAGCUGACAGUGGCGCCCCCUGUGCAGUGGCUGCAAACAGCAGCCUCCUGGGUAGUGUUUGCAGCCUGUUGCUUGUAUAGGCUGCCCUAAGGGACCCUGGAGACAGCC
ensembl:snoRNA SNORA70 Small nucleolar RNA SNORA70